rnacentral:lncRNA from 1 species
AAGCAAUUUGCUCAUAGCCAUAGCUUUCUUGUGAAAGUAGGAUAUUAACCCAGGUGUCUUGGUGCUGGAGAACAGAACUGGCCAGAGUCCAUCCUGUCUCCCACCGGCAUCCCAUUACGAAAUGAACACAGAAAAGGCAGGUCUGCAAUGCCAACAUCUAGUAUCUAUCCCAAAGACCAGGGAGAAAGGAAGGAAAGAUUCUGGUUCUGUCCUCUUCCCCAAGGCAAGGCUGGCUGCCCUACCAACAGAGGCAAAGAGAAGAGUGUGCAAGGCUGGCUGCCCUCCCAACAGAGGCAAAGAGGAGUGUGUGUUGAAAUAUCCAUUGAAUCCCUGAGACAACUGGAUCCUGGCCCAUUGAAUCAUAAACUCAGCAGAAUCUCACAUCAUAACCCCAAAUGACCUGUUACUCACCAUGUGGCCCAGCUGUCUUCAAACUCACCAGCCUCCUGCCUUAGCCUUCUAAAUGCUUGGAUUACAGGCAUGACCCACCAUAACUGGCUUUGUUUUAGUUUCAGAGAAGAUGAAACUGAUGUGCGUCAAAAAGUAAACUACCCACAUUUUAACUGGGCACAUUCCUGUCAAUCUGAUGAGAAUCUAUUUCAUACCCUGCUUUAGCUGGUAGUCUGUCAAGGAAAUGAGCUGAACAUGUCUGUGUACAGCUUUUGUGCCAUCCCUGGAUGAGCGAGCUGUCUGCCUCUAUGUUCUCCACAAAAUGGAAUAUAGCUGUACACCCAAGCCAAGUUAUGGAGGCUGGGAAGACCUAGAAUGUGGCAUCACUAUUUGGUUAUUUAGAAAAUUGUUACCUCAAAAAUGACCUAGGGGUCCUUAGAAUAAUAACACACAGAAGAAUAGCCUCAUUUUUCUGUUGGGCCCAGGAAACCAUGCCGAUUACCGACCGAGCUCUCAAUGGAAAAAUGCAGUCGGCGUGAACCACGCACGAACACAGCAGAGAAAGAAGAAAACACACACCACGAGGAACCCUAAUAGGACAAUACAUUAUAAGUCACAGUGCUACGGAGAAACCCAGUAGCCACAUGGAAGCAGAGACCAUGCAUAUGCAUCUACUCCGCAGCUCUGUGAAUGUCAGCAGCUCCCACGGACUGGAGAUCCCGUGAGAUCCCGUGAGAUCUCACCCAUAGCCUCAUGGUACAUCCACUUGGUGUGCUGGGAGAGUCAGGAUGAGGACCUGAGAAGAACAGCAGCUUGAACCUGACUUCAUUUAACAGCCCACUGCCCUCUUGCCAAGAACCCAUCACAGACCUUCCCAGAAGAGAGGGAUGAGCCUCACCUAUGAAUAAGUCCUCAGAAACUCAAAUUUGAUUCUAAUGGAUUGUUUUCUCAGAAAGACUGAGCAUGUCCCCCCACAUCUCUGUCAUUUCCCACAGUAGUAACCUCUGCAGAUGCCACAUAGAAAACAAAACAAAACAAAAAAACAUGAGGUUGGUGGGCAGAUAGGCAGGGUAUAAACAAACAGCCUUGUAACCCAGAAGCUGUGUGAUAUACAGUAAACUUCACAACACUGAAAAGAUGUCCUAUCUGUUAAAAUGGGGUAAUAACAACUACCCGAAUGUUUAGGAAUAGAACUUCAAUAAAUGAUACAUUUUAUAGUACAGCAGACCAUCCUGUAAAGGUUUCAUCCUUCACUGUGGUGAUAAAUAUCCCAAACCACAUUGAAAAGCAUUGCAUCUACAUUUAUCUACACUGUAACUGUACUGUAAAUCAUGGGGGAGGGGAGAAUCAUAAAAACACCACCUGUCACCGUGUCAUUAAAGCAAGUUGGAAGUGAUACUUACAGAAACACAGCAAGAGCACCCCCAGUCACACAGUUCAAUCUCUUAGCAAGCGUUUUCUUUCUAGCCCAGUGGUUCUCAGUUUGGAAUUUUUGGCACUGCCUAGAGAUAGUUUUGUUGUUAAAACUGAGAAAAGAGCCGGGCGUGGUGGCACACGCCUUUAAUCCCAGCACUCAGGAGGCAGAGGCAGG